ensembl:misc_RNA Y_RNA Y RNA
GGCAGGGCUGAGUGCAGUGGUAUUCACAAUUAAUUGAUCAUAGCCAGUUAUGGAUUCCUUCUUUCCUUCUCCACUCCCACUGCCUCACUUGACCAACCUAAA